rnacentral:rRNA from 1 species
UCCUAGCCGUAAACGAUGGAUACUAGGUGUUAGAGGUAUCGACCCCUCUAGUGCCGCAGCUAACGCAUUAAGUAUCCCGCCUGGGGAGUACGACCGCAAGGUUGAAACUCAAAGGAAUUGACGGGGGCCCGCACAAGCGGUGGAGCAUGUGGUUCAAUACGUCACUAACCGUAGAACCUUACCCAGGCUUGACAUCCGCUGUAAGCGCCUGAAAGGGUGGCCCCUGUGUGGUAAACACACAGCAGUGAGACAGGUGUUGCAUGGCUGUCGUCAGCUCGUGUCGUGAGAUGUUGGGUU